rnacentral:rRNA from 1 species
GAGUAACACGUGGGCAACCCACCCUUGGUACCGGGAUAGCCCGGGGAAACCCGGAUUAAUACCGGAUGGCCCAGCAGCUCUUCGGGGCGGCUGGAAAAGGUAGCUUCGGCCUCCGACCAAGGACGGGCCCGCGGCGGAUUAGCUUGUUGGUGGGGUAACGGCCUACCAAGGCGACGAUCCGUAGCUGGUCUGAGAGGACGAUCAGCCACACUGGGACUGAGACACGGCCCAGACUCCUACGGGAGGCAGCAGUGGGGAAUCUUGCGCAAUGGGCGAAAGCCUGACGCAGCGACGCCGCGUGGGGGAAGAAGGCUUUCGGGUUGUAAACCCCUUUCAGGAAGGACGAAGCUCCUCGGGUGAAUAGCCCAGAGGGUGACGGUACUUCCAGAAGAAGCCCCGGCUAACUACGUGCCAC